rnacentral:rRNA from 1 species
CCUACGGGAGGCAGCAGUGAGGAAUAUUGGUCAAUGGACGAGAGUCUGAACCAGCCAAGUCGCGUGAAGGAUGACUGCCCUAUGGGUUGUAAACCUCUUUUCUCAAGGACUAAAACGACGCACGUUUGCCUUUUUGCAUGUACUUAAUGAAUAAGGAUCGGCUAACUCCGUGCCAGCAGCCGCGGUAAUACGGAGGGUGCGAGCGUUAAUCGGAAUUGAUGGGCGUAAAGCGCUUGGAGGCGGUAUGUCAAGUCAAGGGGGAAAUCCCCGCGCCUAACGUGGGACCUGCCUUUAAAACUGGAGAACUGGAGUGUGUGAGAGGCUAGUGGAAUUCCAGGUGUAGGAGUGAAAUCCGUAGAUAUCAGGAGGAACAUCAGUGGCGAAGGCGACUAUCUGGCACAUAACUGACGCUGAGGAGCGAAAGCGUGGGUAGCAAACAGGAUUAGAUACCCGUGUAGUC